GAUGAACGCUAGCGGCAGGCCUAACACAUGCAAGUCGAGGGGUAUUAGGAGCUUGCUCCUAAGAGACCGGCGCACGGGUGCGUAACGCGUAUGCAAUCUACCUUUUACAGGGGAAUAGCCCAGAGAAAUUUGGAUUAAUGCCCCAUAGUAUAUAUUAUUCGCAUGUUUGAUAUAUUAAAGUUCCAACGGUAAAAGAUGAGCAUGCGUCCCAUUAGUUAGUUGGUAAGGUAACGGCUUACCAAGACGAUGAUGGGUAGGGGUCCUGAGAGGGAGAUCCCCCACACUGGUACUGAGACACGGACCAGACUCCUACGGGAGGCAGCAGUGAGGAAUAUUGGACAAUGGGCGCAAGCCUGAUCCAGCCAUGCCGCGUGCAGGAAGAAGCAUCUAUGGUGUGUAAACUGCUUUUGUACGGGAAGAAACACCCCUUCGUGAAGGGACUCGACGGUACCGUAAGAAUAAGGAUCGGCUAACUCCGUGCCAGCCGCCGCCGUAA
rnacentral:rRNA from 1 species